rnacentral:lncRNA from 1 species
CUUGGUGAUUGCAAAUACAUAACAGAAAGUUUGAUGUGGUCCAGAAACUGUUCUUUGUGCUUUCCAUGUAUUUACUUGUUACUCCAAUAUUAAUUAAUGCACUCAACAAACAUCAUGUUCAACCCAUACAUAGAUAAAAUGUAAUCCAGUAAUGCUGAUGGACAUUUUCACUUGCCUUUUGAUCCAGAGGACAUCUGACAUUGUAGUGCAUUCAAGACUUUUGGGAUUGAAUUCCGUGUCUCUUCAUGUUUCUCUAGCCUGGAGAGAAAUUUGACUAUCCUUGCUGGCUAAAUAGUUUUGGGGAAGUUGCUUAACCUAAUAAUUUGUUUGUUUCCUCAUCUGUAAAAAGGGAUGAUUACAUUAAUACUUACCUCAUAGCAUUGCAAUGAGUACCAUCUUAGUCCAUUUUCUGCUGCUUUAACAGAAUACUCAAGACUGGGUGGCCUUAUAAAGAAAAGAGAUUUAUUUUCACUUAGGGUUCUGAGGACUAGGAAGUCCAAGAGCACGAC